GACGAACGCUGGCGGCGUGCCUAAUACAUGCAAGUAGAACGCUGAAGGAGGAGCUUGCUUCUCCGGAUGAGUUGCGAACGGGUGAGUAACGCGUAGGUAACCUGCCUGGUAGCGGGGGAUAACUAUUGGAAACGAUAGCUAAUACCGCAUAACAGUAGAUGUUGCAUGACAUUUGCUUAAAAGGUGCAAUUGCAUCACUACCAGAUGGACCUGCGUUGUAUUAGCUAGUUGGUGAGGUAACGGCUCACCAAGGCGACGAUACAUAGCCGACCUGAGAGGGUGAUCGGCCACACUGGGACUGAGACACGGCCCAGACUCCUACGGGAGGCAGCAGUAGGGAAUCUUCGGCAAUGGACGGAAGUCUGACCGAGCAACGCCGCGUGAGUGAAGAAGGUUUUCGGAUCGUAAAGCUCUGUUGUAAGAGAAGAACGAGUGUGAGAGUGGAAAGUUCACACUGUGACGGUAUCUUACCAGAAAGGGACGGCUAACUACGUG
rnacentral:rRNA from 1 species